rnacentral:rRNA from 1 species
CAAUAGCGUAUAUUUAAGUUGUUGCAGUUAAAAGCUCGUAGUUGGAUUUCGGUUAAGAGCGACCGGUCCGCCGUUUGGUGUGCACUGGUUGGUUUUAACUUCCUGUAGAGGACGUGCUCUGGGUUUAACGACCUGGACUCGGAGUCUACGUGGUUACUUUGAAAAAAUUAGAGUGUUCAAAGCGGGCUUACGCUUGAAUAUUUCAGCAUGGAAUAACACUAUAGGACUCCUGUCCUAUUUCGUUGGUCUCGGGACGGGAGUAAUGAUUAAGAGGAACAGUUGGGGGCAUUCGUAUUUCAUUGUCAGAGGUGAAAUUCUUGGAUUUAUGAAAGACGAACUUCUGCGAAAGCAUUUGCCAAGGAUGUUUUCAUUAA